AGGGGAAUAACUCAACUGGUAGAGUAGCGGUCUCCAAAACCGAAGGCUGGAGGUUCGAGCCCUCUUUCCCCUGCCA
rnacentral:tRNA from 1 species